rnacentral:lncRNA from 1 species
GGAAUUUCUAAGUCCCUCCCUAACCUGCUGGCCCUGGGAGGCAGUAGCACUACUGGUUGAAUCCAUGAACAGAGAGGGCAAGGAGCAGCCCAGGGUAGCGAGAGACAGCCGAGGAGACCCAGGCAGGUCCACGCAUUCAGGGAUGGCCCACCCCUGAGAAUACACCCUGCUGGGGUGCCCUGGAGGGGUGGCUUGGAUGGCACACAGCCGGCGACGGUGCCCCAGAUGGUCUUGGAGCUGCUUCGGAGGCGCGACUGCUGCCUCAGUGAGCCGCUGACACCAUGCUGCCCCGGUCCAGCUGCUGCCAUCCUCAGGGACAGGCUUUGGGGCUCUACUCCCCAUCACGCUUCUGAGGAGUGCUGGCCACCUGCACGCACCCCAGUGUAAGAGCCUGGGGGAGGCCUUGCUGCCCCCUAAAACUUGUUGGACAGGAAACGGUGACCGACAGGGAGAGACAUGCUCUGCCACUCCCGUCAGACGUCCCAUGCCUGGGCCACGCCAUCACGCAUUGCCACGCCCAAGCCUUUGUGUCUGCAGCUCUCUGUGCUUGCCAUACUCAUUCUCGCAAUUAAAACACCAUAUGAUGAUCUCAGGUGUCAAGAAAGAAAAAUGCCUCUGCUCCUCCCUUCGUUGGACCCCGCGGGCAAGGCCUCAGUCCCACCUGCUAGUAUGGCGAUGCUGGGACCUUUGCAUCUGUUCCUGCUGACACUGCCCUCCAAGCCACAGGCCACGCUUCUCUUGUCAUCACUGCCGGCAGUUGAUUUGCCAGGAGCAAGCAUGGACGUGUGUGUGCAGUGGUGUGUGUGUGUGUGUGUGUGUGUGUGUGUGUGUGCAUGUGUGUGUUUCACUUGCUUCCUCUCCUGUUCUCCCAAU